UUCGGGGACCAGAAGGACCCUCCCAGCAGGGGCUGGCUGAAAACAGGAACUUGAAACUGAGCUCUCUCGGUCUCUUCCCCUUGGAGCCGAAAUCUUUCGGUUUUCUUCCUCAGAACUGGGAUCCCUGUGCCGUCCCCGGACUUGGGGUCUCUCCGUCUCCUCCCAUCAGCUGAGAUCUCUCCGCUUGUUCCCCUCGGAGCUGAGAUCUCUCUCCCAUCUUCUCUCGCAGCAGAGAUCUCUCUUCAUUAGGAGCUGAGACCCCUCUGCUUCUUAAGCUCCGCUCUGCCCGGGCAGGUGGCAGGGGGGCCCGCGGCCAGCCUCGGAAGAGAAGGCAACGACAAAGUCACCGCCCUCCGCCUUCCUUGCCCCUCCCCAGCUUGGUCUGCCGAGGGCCAAAGCCGGGAAUCAGGGGGAAUGGCCCCUGGGAGCCAGAGACCUUCGUCCCAGGUGAGUGCGGUCCCUCCGCGGAGCUGAGCAGCAUCAGCCCAGGGGGAGUCCGAGGGAGCCCAAGAAGCUUCCUCCUGUCAGAGGGAGGGGGGCGCUGGCAGAGCAGGCAGCAGGGCAGGAGUCACCCUCCUGCCCAUUUCCUUCUGCCCCCAGUCAUGCAUUGCUCCCAGGGCUCUCUGAACCCCUCGCCUUUGCUGGUUCUUAAGUCAAAAAGCGUUUCGAAAAUGGUUACACAGUGUCAGGUGGUGUUCUUCCGUGGGUACAAAGUAUCCAGUCGAGAAAUCAAAGAAACUCAACUUUCCCCAAAGGAAAGAAAACUCAGUUCCUGCCCUCAAAGAACUCCCAGUCUAAACACCUACGUUACGUCCACACAAGCGCCUGACACUCUCAGAGGGAGACUCUGGAAGUUCUGGGGACCAGGAAAAGCUGGUUUUCAGGAGGUGAGAUUUUAGCUGAGAUGUGACAGCAGCCACGAGGGGUGGCAGAAAGAAGGAGGCCAUUCUGAUUGUGAGAGAAGCCAUCGGGAUGGAGGAUCUUGGUCAAGGAUCAGCCAGGAGCCCCGUGUCCCUGGGUCAGAGAGAGCAGGUGGAGGGGAGGAAGGGGUGAGAAGAUGAGAAAGGGGCUUGGUUAUAUAGUGUCCGCUACAUGUCAGGAUCCUUAGAAUGAUUAAAUCAUUUGAGUCUGUUGGGAAAAUUAAAACAGCCAGGAAAUGACAGUACCUGAUGCAGUUACAUGUACAUGACAGCUUUGUGAUCCAUUCAAGAGUGAGAGACAUUUUGAUUAAAUAUUAUGGAUCUAUGGAUGAAUCUAUGUGUUCAUAUAUAUCUGUAUCUCUAUCCUUCUUCCUCAGCUCCUUGAUCUAGGGCACUUAGGCAAGGAAAGGAAUAGGAAAAGGGAAAGGAAGGAAGGAAAGAAGGGAAGAAGGAAGGAAGGAAAGGAGAGAGAGGCUGCUUCUAUUGUUCAAAGGCCUUUAGCAGUGAGGUGGUCCAGUAGAUACACUGCCCAGCCUGAAGUCAGGAAUAUCUCACUUUAAAUUCAGCCUGUGUGAUCCUGGGCAAGUUACUUAACCCUGUUUGCCUCAAUUUCCUGAGUCAGAAAAUAUGCUGGAGGAGGAAGUGCCAAACUACUCCAGUAUCUUUGCCAAGAACAUCCCAAAUGGGAUGGAUAAGAUUCAAAAUUGUGAACCUCAACAACAAAGGAAACAGUAGCUUCUUUAAUAAUCAUCUGGUCCAAUUGUCGUUGUUAAGAUGCUGUUCCUUUGCUAGCUAAAGGGAAGGAGGAGGGUGGUUCUGGAACUCUUCCUAUCUUGAGAGAUUUCUUUUGGAAUGUGGGGCUGGGGAAGGUUCUGAAGGAGACCUUCAGUAAAUUUUCAAGAGGUAUCAGGUUUUAAGGUCAAGAAUUAUCACGUCACAAAAUAGAGUCAGUUUGUUUUCCCCACAAUCCACUAUGGACACUCUUCCCAACAAAACUGGGAGGUGGAUGUGCUUAUUAUCUUUUUUUUUUUUAAGUAUUUUAUUUUUUUUUCAGUUCCUUGUAAAAAAUGUUAAACAUUAGUUUUAAAAAUUUUUAAGUUUUAAAUUUUCUUCCUUUCUUUCUACUCAUCAUCCCUUAGUGAGAAGGCAUUCAAUAUGAUCCAUUAUAGGUGUAUAGUUAUGUACAACAUAUUUCCAUAUUAGUUACAUUGUAAAAGAAAGCAUAGACCAAAAAACUCAAGAAAAAGAGAGUUAAGAUAUGCUUUACACUGUAGUGAGACACAAUUAGUUCUUUCUUUGGGGAUAGAUAGCAUUUUUCAUACUAAGUCCUUUAGAGUUCUCUUGUAUCUCUGUUUCUGAUAAGAGCUAAGUCAUUCAUAGUUGUCCAUCUUAUGUUAUUGCCAUUACUUUGUGCACAGGACACGUUACUCAGCUCCUCGAAUUCUUUACAGUUUUUUCUGAGAACACUCUGCCCAUCAUUUCUCAUAGCAUAAUAAUAUUCCAUUACAAUCAUAUACCACAAUUUCUUUAGCCAUCUCCUAAUUAACAAGUAUCCCAUUAAUUUCCAAUUCUUUGCCAGCAGAAAAUAGCUUCUAGAAGUAUUUUUGUUCAUUUAAAUCCUUUUUCUUUUUGUUUUUUAUCUCUUUUGGGAAACAGACUUAGUAGUGAUCUUGCUAGGUCAAAGAGUAUGCAUUUUAUAACCCUUUGGGUAUAGUUUCAAAUUGCUGUAGAAUUAGUUCAGUCACUUCACAAUUCAACUUAUAGUGCAUUCAUGCUUCAUUUUCUCCACACCUCCUCCAACUUUUGUCAUCCUUCUUUUUGUCCUGUUAGAUAAUCUAAUAGGUAUGAAGUAAUACCUUAGAGUGGUUUUAAAUUGCAUUUCUCCCAUCAAGAAUGAGUUAGAGCAUUUUUUUCAUAUGUAUAUAUUUCAAAAAUCUAUGAUAGAUUUGAUUACUUCAUCUGGAAACUUCAUAUAUUUUGAUCAUUUAUCAAUUGGGGAAUGGCUCUUAUUUUUUUAUAACUUUGACUCAGUUCUCUAUAUGUUUGAGAAAUGAAGCUUUUAUUAGAGAACUUGCUUCAAAAAUUUUUUUCACAGUUAUGAUUCCUGACUGUAUUUCCCUUUAUUUUAUUUCUCCCUCUGUUUAUUCUGUUCUCUCUCUCCCUUCACUCUGUCUUUCCUUAAAAGUAUUUUACUUCUGACUACUGCCUUUCCUAAAGUACCCUCCCUUCUAUUAUCCCGAAUCUUUUUUCUUGUAAGAUAGAUUUCUAUAUCUAAUUGACUUUGUCCCUUUCCUUUUCUCCCAGUUAAUUCCUCUUUUACUCCUUAAUUUUUUUUUUAGAUGUUAUCUCUUCAUAUUCAACUGAUACCUUUGCCUUCUGUCUUUGUAUGCUCCUUCUAAUUGCUCUAAUAAUGAGAAAGUUCUUAUAAGUUACAUGUAUCUUCUUUGCAGGUAGGAAUGUAAAUAGCUUAACUUUAUAAAGUCCUUCAUUAUUUCUCUUUCCUGUUUUACCAUUUUAUACUUCUCUUCAGUCUUGUGUUUGAAAGUCAGAUUUUCUAGUUAGCUCUGGUCUUUUCAACAAAAAAGUAUGAAAAUCCUUUAUUUCAUUUAAUAUCCAUUUUUUCCCCUGAAGGAUUAUACUCUAUUUUGCUGAAUAGGUGAGUCUUGGUUGUAAUUCUAAUUCCCUUGCUCUCUAGAAUAUCAUACGUUAACCCAUCUGAUCCUUUAAUGUAGAAGCUGCUUAAUCUUGUGUUAUUGUUACUAUGGAUAGAGUGGGAUAGUAAAAUGGUAGGUCUGGUAGUUUGGCUCUUUACUGUAUCCCCUAAAUGGAGGAUCCCUUGGAGUGAAGAACAGCUUGAAGCAGAAUGACCCACUAGCAAGCUGUUAUAGAGUCCAAGGGUGUGGUGAUAAGGACCUACACCAAGCUGACUGUGGAGAAGGGGAUGAAUUGGGGAGGUAGUGUAAAAGUGACUUGGACAGUGUUGGCAGUAGAUUGGGGGGGGGGGAUCGGAAUCAAGGCUGACACCUGGGCUAAGAGUUUGAAGGACCUGGAGGAUGGUAUUGUCCUUUACAGUAAAUGAGGGAGUUUUAGGGGAGGCUUUAAAGGGAAAGAUAAUGAGUUCUGUUUGGAUACCUUGAAUUUGAGAUAUCAAUUAGACAUCCAUUCUAGAUGUCUGAAAGGGAGUUGGCAGGAGAGGUAGCUCAGUUUAAAUACUCAAUUUUCAAAGCAAAAGAAGAGACAAGAUGCUUAGA
rnacentral:lncRNA from 1 species